CCUACGGGUGGCAGCAGUAGGGAAUAUUGCUCAAUGGGGGAAACCCUGAAGCAGCAACGCCGCGUGGAGGAUGAAGGUUUUCGGAUUGUAAACUCCUUUUGUUAGAGAAGAUAAUGACGGUAUCUAACGAAUAAGCACCGGCUAACUCCGUGCCAGCAGCCGCGGUAAUACGGAGGGUGCAAGCGUUACUCGGAAUCACUGGGCGUAAAGAGCGCGUAGGCGGGAUAGCAAGUCAGAUGUGAAAUCCUAUGGCUUAACCAUAGAACUGCAUUUGAAACUGUUAUUCUAGAGUAUGGGAGAGGUAGGUGGAAUUCUUGGUGUAGGGGUAGAAUGCGUAGAGAUCAAGAGGAAUACUCAUUGCGAAGGCGACCUGCUAGACCAUAACUGACGCUGAUGCGCGAAAGCGUGGGGAGCAAACAGGAUUAGAUACCCCAGUAGUC
rnacentral:rRNA from 1 species